CCCUUAGAUGUUCUGGGCGGCCCGCGCACUACAAUGGCGCUUUCAGCGAGUUCCUAUGUUGAAUUUUCCUGGGUAUUCUUGGAAGCGGCGUCUUGACUUGGGAUAGAUCCUUGUAAUUGUUGGUUUUGAACGAGGAAUUCCUUGUAAUCGCGGUUGAUCAGCUCGCGUUGAAUACGUCCCUGCCCUUUGUACACACCGCCCGUCGCUCCUACCGAUUGAGCGAUCCGGUAAAUGUUUUGGAUUGGUGCCGGGGCGGCUAGCUGCCGGUCGCUACGAAAUUUUGUGAACCUUAUCGCUUAGAGGAAGGAAAAGUCGUAACA
rnacentral:rRNA from 1 species